rnacentral:rRNA from 1 species
CUUACACAUGCAAGUCGAGGGGUAACGAUGGUGCUUGCACCAUGCGACGACCGGCGCACGGGUGAGUAUAACGUACGCAACCUGCCCCUAAUCGGAGGAUAGCCCGAAGAAAUUCGGAUUAAUACUCCAUAAUAUCUUAGAUUCGCAUGUUUCUAAGAUUAAAACUUCGGUGAUUAGGGAUGGGCAUAUGCCCCAUUAGCUUGUUGGUGAGGUAACGGCUCACCAAUGCAACGAUGGAUAGGGGGCCUGAGAGGGUGAUCCCCCACACUGGUACCGAGACACGGACCAGACUCCUACGGGAGGCAGCAGUGAGGAAUAUUGGUCAAUGGAGGAAACUCUGAACCAGCCAUGCCGCGUGCAGGAUGACUGUCCUACGGAUUGUAAACUGCUUUUCUGCAAGAAGAAACCUUUCUACGUGUAGAGAGUUGACGGUAUUGCAGGAAUAAGCAUCGGCUAACUCCGUGCCAGCAGCCGCGGUAAUACGGAGGAUGCAAGCGUUAUCCGGAUUCAUUGGGUUUAAAGGGUGCGCAGGCGGGAUAAUAAGUCAGUGGUGAAAUACUGCAGCUUAACUGUAGAAUUGCCAUUGAUACUGUUAUUCUUGAGUAUAGUUGAGGAAGGCGGAAUGAGUAAUGUAGCGGUGAAAUGCAUAGAUAUUACUCAGAACACCAAUUGCGAAGGCAGCUUUCUAAACUACUACUGACGCUGAGGCACGAAAGCGUGGGGAGCGAACAGGAUUAGAUACCCUGGUAGUCCACGCUGUAAACUAUGAUCACUCGUUGUUAGCGAUAAACUGUUAGCGACUGAGCGAAAGCGUUAAGUGAUCCACCUGGGGAGUACGAUCGCAAGGUUGAAACUCAAAGGAAUUGACGGGGGCCCGCACAAGCGGAGGAACAUGUGGUUUAAUUCGAUGAUACGCGAGGAACCUUACCUGGGCUUAAAUGCAAAACGACGUCCGCCGAAAGGUGGAUUCCCUUCGGGGCGGAUUGCAAGGUGCUGCAUGGUUGUCGUCAGCUCGUGCCGUGAGGUAUCGGGUUAAGUCCCAUAACGAGCGCAACCCCUAUCGUUAGUUGCCAGCGGAUAAUGCCGGGGACUCUAACUAAACUGCCCGUGUAAGCGGGAGGAAGGUGGGGAUGACGUCAAAUCAGCACGGCCCUUAUGUCCAGGGCUACACACGUGUUACAAUGGCAGGUACAAAGGGCAGCUACUACGCGAGUAGAUGCUAAUCUCUAAAGCCUGUCCCAGUUCGGAUCGAAGUCUGCAAUUCGACUUCGUGAAGGCGGAUUCGCUAGUAAUCGCGCAUCAGCCAUGGCGCGGUGGAUACGUUCCCGGGCAUUGUACACACUGCCCGUCAAGCCAUGGAAGUUGGUAGUACCUGAAGUCUGUAACCGAAAGGAG